rnacentral:rRNA from 1 species
ACGAACGCUGGCGGCGUGGAUAAGACAUGCAAGUCGAACGGGAGAAUUGCUAGCUUGCUAAUAAUUCUCUAGUGGCGCACGGGUGAGUAACACGUGAGUAACCUGCCUCUUAGUGGGGGAUAGCCCUGGGAAACCGGGAUUAAUACCGCAUACGAUUGAAAGAUCAAAGCAGCAAUGCGCUAGGAGAUGGGCUCGCGGCCUAUUAGUUAGUUGGUGAGGUAACGGCUCACCAAGGCGAUGACGGGUAGCCGGUCUGAGAGGAUGUCCGGCCACACUGGAACUGAGACACGGUCCAGACACCUACGGGUGGCAGCAGUCGAGAAUCAUUCACAAUGGGGGCAACCCUGAUGGUGCGACGCCGCGUGGGGGAAUGAAGGUCUUCGGAUUGUAAACCCCUGUCAUGUGGGAGCAAAUUAAAAAGAUAGUACCACAAGAGGAAGAGACGGCUAACUCUGUGCCAGCAGCCGCGGUAAUACAGAGGUCUCAAGCGUUGUUCGGAAUCACUGGGCGUAAAGCGUGCGUAGGCUGUUUCGUAAGUCGUGUGUGAAAGGCAGGGGCUCAACCCCUGGAUUGCACAUGAUACUGCGAGACUAGAGUAAUGGAGGGGGAACCGGAAUUCUCGGUGUAGCAGUGAAAUGCGUAGAUAUCGAGAGGAACACUCGUGGCGAAGGCGGGUUCCUGGACAUUAACUGACGCUGAGGCACGAAGGCCAGGGGAGCGGAAGGGAUUAGAUACCCCUGUAGUCCUGGCAGUAAACGGUGCACGCUUGGUGUGCGGGGAAUCGACCCCCUGCGUGCCGGAGCUAACGCGUUAAGCGUGCCGCCUGGGGAGUACGGUCGCAAGAUUAAAACUCAAAGAAAUUGACGGGGACCCGCACAAGCGGUGGAGUAUGUGGCUUAAUUCGAUGCAACGCGAAGAACCUUACCUGGGCUUGACAUGUAAUGAACAACAUGUGAAAGCAUGCGACUCUUCGGAGGCGUUACACAGGUGCUGCAUGGCCGUCGUCAGCUCGUGUCGUGAGAUGUUUGGUUAAGUCCAGCAACGAGCGCAACCCCUGUUGCCAGUUACCAGCACGUCAAGGUGGGGACUCUGGCGAGACUGCCCAGAUCAACUGGGAGGAAGGUGGGGACGACGUCAGGUCAGUAUGGCCCUUAUGCCCAGGGCUGCACACGUACUACAAUGCCCAGUACAGAGGGGGCCGAAGCCGCGAGGCGGAGGAAAUCCUGAAAACUGGGCCCAGUUCGGACUGUAGGCUGCAACCCGCCUACACGAAGCCGGAAUCGCUAGUAAUGGCGCAUCAGCUACGGCGCCGUGAAUACGUUCCCGGGUCUUGUACACACCGCCCGUCACAUCAUGGAAGCCGGUCGCACCCGAAGUAUCUGAAGCCAACCGCAAGGAGGCAGGGUCCUAAGGUGAGACUGGUAACUGGGAUG